CAGACAGACAGAGCGGGGAGGGUCCGCUCCCCUCAUCUGGGCGAUGCGGGGCAGAGCCGCCCGUGUGCUGGGAAAUCACCGCCCCGAGAGGGGCGAGCCCCAGCAUGAGGCGGACUGCGGCCAUCGACACCGGGGGCUGUGGGUGCCCGACGUGGCAUAAACAAACGCGGAUCUGUUUCGAGUGAGCGCUUGUGACCUCUGUGAGUGCCGGGGCAGAAAGCCGGCAGCCGCUUUGCCUUCCCUCGUGCUUGUCUUUAAUGUCAGCGUUAAUAAGGGCAUUUGUUGCCACUGCCACCGAAGGGUAAUCGAAGAUUUGCCUUAGUUUGCUCUGUGUUGUAAUGUUAAACACGCUCUUGGACACGAACCCCUCUUUGCAGGUGUCAGAGCGGGGACACAAGUAGCUGGACAUUGUCCUUGUAGCCACUUGUCUGCAUGGCAUCAUGGCACGUUGUACGAGACAUUUUCCAGCUGCCAAAGGGGAUCUACUGGGCUUCCCACCGUCAUUUGCUUCAACAAAAGAUUUGGCAGCUUCUCUAUAAUAGUAGUUGGAAGUAUUGCCAAAGCCCUAAUAUUUGAGGUUUGGAGUUUUUAAAAUCUAUUAUUAAUCACAAUGUGUUCAGUAAGACUGUCAGGUGUCAGGUGGAUGAGAGCAUCUGUCAAGCUCUGUCAACUAGUCACCUCCACAGUCUUCAUAACACACAGAGUAAAUCUUGCCCAUGCAUGCCAUCUUUAUCAAGAAAAUACUUUUUUCCUAAGGUAAUCACAACUUUUGCUAGACAUAACUUUCAAAUUAAUUAAUCCAAGUAUGGGUUGAGCUAGUUUUCAAAAAAAGUUAAGCUGACUUCAGCAAAAGGACCUCUGGCAUAGCUUACCGAGAGACUAUACCAAAGUCUUGGAGGUCUUGCUUGCUGUAUAUGACACAUCCAACCAGCUUCUGCCUGCAGUUCCCCUUUCCCUCUUUUUCACACAAGGGAUAAAAAACCCUAGUCCUGCAAGGUACUACCUCAGGCCUUCUGUGAAAUAGGUCUAAGUAGGCACAAUUUACUGAGCUGCAUCAGGCUAUAGGGUUGAAAAUCCCCAUGCUGAGUUCUAAUUAAGGAAUUAAUGUUCUAAUUCUUGAAUGCAGUAAGUGGCAACCAGAAUCCUCCACUACAGUUAGUGAGUUAGUGUUUUGUUUUUCCCCUCUGUUAUAGGGGUGGAGUUGGUCCAAGCCUGGAUUUUCCAAGCAGCAGCAGUCUCACUUAUGACAAAAAAAAAAGGUAUACAUCCUAGCUGAAGAUAUGACAUGUCUUGUGAUAAGAAAACUAUAAGAUUUUGCUGUAGCACACAUUUUGCCACACUUUGAAAAGGUAAAGUUUACCUAAAUGACUUUACAGUGCAGUAUCUAAAAUGUGAAAACUGUCAGUGUUUUGAUAUAAGCUUGCCCUUUAAGGAAACAGACUAAUAAAAGUGAAAAGUGUUUGGCCUGAAAUGUGGAUCAGAAGGAAACGUGAGCACUGUUUGUAGGAACGAAAUUCUUGUUGCCUUUUUGUGGAGUUAAUUGUCCUUUUGUGCAUGCUUGUUUGCGUCUCCUGGCACACAUGCAGGGCAGGUCCCUGGCUUUUCCUGCUUUCGACUGGCAGCAUAUUUGUUGUCAGAGCCAUGGAUGCUGGGCUCUUCUGUGCUGUGUAGGCCACACAGCCAUGACAGAGAAAUAGGAUGGCACAUGAAAUUACACAGAAUUAAAAGUUAAAUGAUGCUUUAGUGCUUUUCUGGGGAUCUAGAUGCUGGAAGUACCAUUUGAAUGAUAUCUAAAUCUAAAUUUAUGAGCCUAUAACCAUUAAAAUGCAUACUUAACUGCUUGAGUAGAAGAAUAUUUUCCACUCUGUCUUGUCCCAGUCCAUACUGGGUAAUUAUGUGCCAUCUCUUUAAAUCUCUAUGUGUCUCUUAGUUAAAGUCACAAAGCAUUCUAAUUCACACACAUUCCUAAAUCCUAUUAUUCUAAUGCACCUUGGUGUAUUCAUAAGUCUUACAAGUUUCUUCAGAGUAAAUUCUAUGUAAUUCAAAUUUCUUGUUUCUUUAGUGUGACUAAAAAUCAGAAACACUCGCUGCUGUUAUAACCUAACUGUACAAAUUCUGUAAGUUAAAGACCCUCUGACCAUUGAGGUCUCUAAAUUAGGAGCACAUGUUUAAUAUUCAUCCUCAGUUCCUCGUAGGAGUAUUUUGAAAAGAAAUCCAAAGUGUACUUUAAACUGGAGUAAUAAACACUGUUUAUUUAUCA